AGCAGCCGCGGUAAUUCCAGCUCCAAUAGCGUAUAUUAAAGUUGUUGCAGUUAAAAAGCUCGUAGUUGAAUUUCAGGCCUGGCUGGACGGUCCGCCUUUUGGGUGAGUACUGUCUGUGGUCGGGUCCUACCUUCUGGCGAAGCGUCAUGGCCUUAACCGGCCGUGGCGGGGAACCAGGACUUUUACUGUGAAAAAAUUAGAGUGUUCAAAGCAGGCAAUCGCUUGGAUACAUUAGCAUGGAAUAAUGGAAUAGGACAAUGGUUCUAUUUGUUGGUUUCUAGGACCGUUGUAAUGAUUAAUAGGGAUAGUUGGGGGCAUUAGUAUUCAAUUGUCAGAGGUGAAAUUCUUGGAUUUAUUGAAGACUGACUACUGCGAAAGCAUUUGCCAAGGAUGUUUUCAUUAAUCAAGAACGAAAGUUAGGGGAUCGAAGACGAUCAGAUACCGUCGUAGUCUUAACCAUAAACUAUGCCGACUAGGAAUCGGGCGAUGUUGACAAAAUGACGCGCUCGGCACCU
rnacentral:rRNA from 1 species